UUUCACAGGUCAGUCAGCUGUACGGUUCUGGUUUUACACGUCAACCGAAUAGCGUUACACCAGUGAUAGAGCAAUAAAUGCGGCUGUGCCUUAGCUUCACAGGACUCCACCUGUGGUCACUGUUCUAAUGACCACGCCGGGCAAUC
rnacentral:snoRNA from 1 species